GAGGUGUUAGUAAAUCCAUUACGUGGCCCUGUCAAAGCCAAAUCACAGGUGAAACCCCCGUACACCUCC
rnacentral:tRNA from 1 species